CGUUGGCGGCUGCUUACCAUGCAAGUCGAACGGUAAGGCCCUUUCGGGGGUACACGAGUGGCGAACGGGUGAGUAACACGUGGGUAAUCUGCCCUGCACUUCGGGAUAAGCCUGGGAAACCGGGUCUAAUACCGGAUAUGAGCUCCUGCCGCAUGGUGGGGGUUGGAAAGUUUUUCGGUGCAGGAUGAGUCCGCGGCCUAUCAGCUUGUUGGUGGGGUAAUGGCCUACCAAGGCGACGACGGGUAGCCGGCCUGAGAGGGUGAUCGGCCACACUGGGACUGAGACACGGCCCAGACUCCUACGGGAGGCAGCAGUGGGGAAUAUUGCACAAUGGGCGGAAGCCUGAUGCAGCGACGCCGCGUGGGGGAUGACGGUCUUCGGAUUGUAAACUCCUUUCAGUAGGGACGAAGCGAGAGUGACGGUACCUGCAGAAGAAGCACCGGCCAACUACGUGCCAGCAGCCGCGGUAAUACGUAGGGUGCGAGCGUUGUCCGGAAUUACUGGGCGUAAAGAGCUCGUAGGCGGUUUGUCACGUCGUCUGUGAAAUCCUCCAGCUCAACUGGGGGCGUGCAGGCGAUACGGGCUGACUUGAGUACUACAGGGGAGACUGGAAUUCCUGGUGUAGCGGUGAAAUGCGCAGAUAUCAGGAGGAACACCGGUGGCGAAGGCGGGUCUCUGGGUAGUAACUGACGCUGAGGAGCGAAAGCAUGGGGAGCAAACAGGAUUAGAUACCCUGGUAGUCCAUGCCGUAAACGGUGGGCGCUAGGUGUGGGGUCCUUCCACGGAUUCCGUGCCGUAGCUAACGCAUUAAGCGCCCCGC
rnacentral:rRNA from 1 species